rnacentral:rRNA from 1 species
CAGUAGCCACGGUAAUACGUAGGUGGCAAGCGUUGUCCGGAAUUAUUGGGCGUAAAGGGCUCGCAGGCGGUUUCUUAAGUCUGAUGUGAAAGCCCCCGGCUCAACCGGGGAGGGUCAUUGGAAACUGGGAAACUUGAGUGCAGAAGAGGAGAGUGGAAUUCCACGUGUAGCGGUGAAAUGCGUAGAGAUGUGGAGGAACUCCAGUGGCGAAGGCGACUCUCUGGUCUGUAACUGACGCUGAGGAGCGAAAGCGUGGGGAGCGAACAGGAUUAGAUACCCCCGUAGUCCCUGUCUCUUAUAC